GCCUUCACAGCCACACUAACAAUCUAGAAUUAAGAAUGCUUAUUGAAAUCAAACAGUCAAGAAACUAAAGGUUUCACUUCCAGUGAGUGAACUUCGAGUUACAACAGACCAAAAGCAUGUAUAUAAUAUUAUAAUCCAGUUCAAACAUCAUCAAGUGCCACUGUUUUUUAAUAUGGAAAUGUCAUGGGCCACCGAACAAGUGUCCAGAAGAGAUGAUAGAUUACUUAAUUGAGACCAAGUUGGGUCUUAUUUCAUUUCACUGAAUUUGUGUUGCUACAGGCCACCAUGAAAAAAGACAAGGCAGUUUGAGUCAUGCAAUCGUUUAUUGAUUAAUCUGACAAAUGUCUAGAAACAACAAUCAGAUGACCGAAUUCUGAAAGGAAGAGGAGCUUUAAAUCCAAAGACAGGGAGACCCAAAAGCUUGAUGUUAGUACAAG